UUGUCUUAGCUGUCUUUUGGAUUCUAACUCUGAUUUUUGGCAAUACAAAUAUUUGGCAAAUAUUUGUGUCUUUUAGGAUAUACAUGUACUUGAAUUCCUUUAUGAGGUGAUUAUCUUGCUAUGUCAGAAGGCCUUUCUUUCAAUUCUUCCCUUUGUCUUCCUUUACCUAUACCAGCUUUUCCAGUUCUGCCUUGUCUGAGAUAUCCUCUCUCUUCUAAAGUCACUUUACCUAGUUGUUAGUUGAUUUACAAAUGAGAAGAAUGUGUGUUACCAUGGAGGUCCUGAUCUCUCCACCACUUCAUCCCAUUCCUAGCACAUGCAAGCCUAAAACAAGGACUUCAGUCGUGCUAGACUGGUGCAGAGUAUGUGGACAUGGGUGCAUCUUAUCAUGUGUGAGGCUUGUACUCAUCUACCAAGCUCUGCUUUACAAGUGAAGUGAUUCACUGCUGUUGUUCAGGGCAUGCUAAUACCUUCUCGCUGACCAUCCCAGUGGCAAUUUCUUUCUGCCAUGGUGAUCUGAUGGGAAUGGUAGCCCAAAGCCUCAUUGUUUCUUUGAGAGUCCAUUGGCAAAAUAAAAGGAACAAGAAGCACAGGUAAGAAAAUAACUGAAAAUGUUUGAAAUAUUGCCUAAGGAGAGAUUUGCAUGAAAUUGAAGUCAGAAAAAUACGGUUUGAGUUCUGUAUUGAACCACCACAGGUUCUCAUUAUAAAGAACAGCCCUUCUACCAAAGGAGGUUAGAUAUAAUGACCUGUCAGUUGCAAAAAACAGAUGUGCUUUAUUCCUUGCCGCUGAGUGAUGCUUGUGAGAUGUGUGGUAUGGGCGGAGAGGGACCGUAAUAGCUGUGGUAUGGAAGGGAAAGUGCUGGUAGGUGCUGAGUAGGCCUAAUGCUGCAGGAAUGCAGAAUGAAAGGAAACCGUAUAAUGUAGUUCUGUCAUUCUGUAUUACGCUGGGUUCGCUGAGCAUCUCGUUCCAUCAACAGUCUCAAGAAUGGAUUAGGAAGCUUAAUUCUGCACCCCAGGAAUCCAUCCCUACAGAGGCUUUGUAUGAAUGGGCCUAAACUUCUCGUUCAGAGCUGGGGUUCUGGACAACAGCAUCUACACUGAGUGCUAACCUUCGUCUUCUGGGAUAGAAACUGAGCACUUGACAGGAACAAAGGAGUAACAGGCAGAGCCUUUCCACUGACCUCAGGUGGCAUUUGAUCAGGCUUUGGAUGAUCAAAUCCAAAGAAGAAACAGAAGGAAAAGAUUCACAUUAAUCAAUGUGUUUAAACUAUGAGAUAUCGAUUAAACCUUUAUCACAAAGUCCAGAGACAGCUAUACAAGGUCCUUGCUCCUGAACGAUUAAGUCCAAUCUGAUGGUGCUGCUGGGGUGGAUGAGGACACCAAACCACGACCUGCACAUAUUUGCUGUAUGAGCAAAAGCCUAGCUAAGAGAUUGGCAGUAACCCAAUGCCACUGCUGGUGCUGACCAGCCCCGGAAAGCUCAAAAGAAAACCAAAGCUACACAAGGAACACAAAUUCCAGAUCUCCUCUGGCAUUUGGCAGCAUUUCCCUUCUUCAGUACGAACAGCAGAUGCUAAAUCAUUUCACAAGACGGAGGGAUACAAGGUAUGUGAAAAAACAAGGAUUUUCAGUUCUCCUCUGCACUAAAGAUAACAGUCCAGUUACAGUCCUGUUCCUACUGUAGUGAUUUUUGCCCAAGGCUCGAACGAUAUUUCGUACGCUUGAUCCCAGCUGUCUAGUCUCCU